UGUCAAUGAUGUGUGAAUUUCUUCACCUGAAAUUACUGUGAAGGGUAAAACCGGGAGCUUUUUAACACUGAGCCAC
rnacentral:snoRNA from 1 species